GACGCCGCGUGGGUGAUGAAGGCCUUCGGGUCGUAAAGCCCUGUCGCAGGGGAAGAACAAGCAUCGGGAUAAUACCCCGGUGCCCUGACGGUACCCUGCAAGAAAGCACCGGCUAACUCCGUGCCAGCCACGGCGGUGACUGAGCGGGCUGGCAAGGCGCAUA
rnacentral:rRNA from 1 species